AGAAGAAGAUCAAAAUAAUGUGGAAGAUGUGGAAGACAUUGGUGGGGAAGAGCAAUUAUUGAAUGAGUUGGUUCAAAAAGUUCAAGUACGGAGAAACAUGAGUAUGGCGAGCAAUGACUAUAAACCCGUGAACGACGCAGCUGUAUUAGAUUAUAUACAACGCACGUACCCGCAAGUACGUUCACUAAUAGAUGAAAUGGAAGCUACCGAGUAGAGUCAACUUAAUAACCAGCAAAAGCUCUUCUUGGUCCUAAUAAAAAUUAACUAAAUUUUUUUAAGAGAA